CCCACACCACAGACAAGCACACCUGCAGGUGCAGGUUCACCCCCACGUUCACCGUUUGACAUCAUGGAAGUGCCCGCAGGGCACUCACAUCCCAGCUCCAGCGUUCCAGUCUUCCCAGUGUCUGAAUGCACUCAUGUCCAGUUCAUCUGAACGCCAGCUUGUUCCAGUGCAGCUUGGGGAAUCUGUAGUUCAGUAGUCGUCACAGUAGUCGUCCUGUUUCUUCUUCUUUUCUUAUUUUUUGGUAAUGACGCCCCGACAGGCAGAGCGGUGGUCGCCUCCAGGAUCCCGGCCGCCGUACUGAGCGCGCCGCAUCACACACCGACGCGUUACAGGCCAGAUGCAUGAAGGAAACACUCGCUUUGUGCUGUUCGUAUUCAACUCCGAUAUUCAAACUGAGCUUCAAACACCGCCCGACCCCUCCACCUCACACCACACUUUUAAUGGAGUCGGGUCGUUUCUGUCCGUUUCUCUGUAACUUUGAACGAUUCUGUUUUGUGCGGUGGUUGGUCAGGUGUGCAAAGGUGUGCGAGUGGGCGGGGUUUGAUCUCAUUGGGACGUGUUAUAGGUGAAUGAAUCACUUUCAGAGUUUCUGCCUUCAACGUCCAAGUCUGCUCAUAUCUGAGCGAGCUGAAGGAAGAAAACGAGCGUCCACGAUCACCUGUCGCUCUCUGAAGGGUCAGCUGAUUCCCCGCGGCUCGAGACCGUGGAGAAAACGCCGCUGCGGGAACUAAAGGACGGCCAAGUACCACUAGCUCAAUGAUAAAACCCCGAAGCUGACCUAGGCUCAUACUCAGGAAAUAUUUCAGUGACAUUCACAGCGCGCUCCUCUUCCUGGAGCUCCACACCUACAUUCAGACUCCGCCUUUCCUCACCUGCAGUGCAAAAAUCGUACCAAAGGUUUCAGCGUACACGAGAUCGACGAACGGGGAGCGGUUUGCGAGGACUCAUCUUCAGGAUCGGGCCAAACUCACAAAAGUCGCUCAGUGCAAAUAUGAAAGUAAACAACUUUACACGACGGCGCAGCAGACGGCGGACGUCUCCGAGCCAAUCAGACGAGAGCUGCUCACGCUUCAGCGGCAGCGCGAACAUCACAAGGACGUCAUCCUCAACCCAGAAAGCUAACAUCGCCGUCUGGCUGCUCAGCGAUGACAUCAAAAGAGAGGCGGAGUCUCCACAUCCCCGGCCCCUCCCCUGUCGACUCCCCGUGAGCCGAUCAGAGAGCUCAAAGGAGGGUGGAUCAUCUGAAACCCGCCCGGAUGCGGGACUGAGCGGAGGGAGCCGAUUGGCUGAAGUCUGAGAGUUCAGCUUGAUUUUUGAACAUCCUUCAGUGUUCGAGUCCGAGAAACAAAGAAAAGGAAAGAACUGCAGAGAGAGAAGAAGAGGAGACGCCGUCAUCACUACAGUGCACACUUAUCUGUGUUAGCUUAGCAUCAACAGUCUAACACAAAAACCUAAUCAUGAAUGUAAUCUCAUUACUUCUGUCUGUAAGGAAAUCAGUUGUUUAAGGUGAAAAAAUAAUAAAAUUCUGUGACAAACUAAAAGAAACAAACUGUCAUGCUAACAGAGCAUCUGCGUCCUGUUAGCAGUUAUUAAUAAAGCACAGUGAUCAUCACUGGGAACUG
ensembl:lncRNA